rnacentral:rRNA from 1 species
AUGCACACACGGAUCCGGCCUAACCAUCCUGCAGCUGUGGUGGCGGGCCACCAGGACGGCGGCGGGAACCACCAACCCAUCUUGAGACCUCAACGACGGCGGGUACCAAGAACCGAUGCUGCAGCAACCGCGCGCGUCACAAGGAGGGUGGGUGUGGUUGCUACCGGAGUAGUGAAUGCUGCGCUUGGCGCUGGACCAACAGUGGCUGGGUGGGCCGCGACGCUUGAUUGGGUCGUUUCCAACUGCCCCGGCAUCGAUGGCGACGAGAUGGUGCACCGACCAACAUGGCCAUUCACGUGCAAGGACCCCAUGAAUCUCGUGUACGCGACCAAGGUGCCAGCGUUGAUGACAUAA